GACGAACGCUGGCGGCGUGCUUAACACAUGCAAGUCGAACGGAAAGGCCCUGCUUUUGUGGGGUUCUCGAGUGGCGAACGGGUGAGUAACACGUGAGUAACCUGCCCUUGACUUUGGGAUAACUUCAGGAAACUGGGGCUAAUACCGGAUAGGAGCUCCUGCUGCAUGGUGGGGGUUGGAAAGUUUCGGCGGUUGGGGAUGGACUCGCGGCUUAUGCGCUUGUUGGUGGGGUAGUGGCUUACCAAGGCUUUGACGGGUAGCCGGCCUGGGAGGGUGACCGGCCACAUUGGGAUUGAGAUGCGGCCCAGACGCAUACGGGAGGCAGCAGUGGGGAAUAUUCCACAAUGGGCGGAAGGCUGAUGCAGCAACGCCGGGUGCGGGAUGACGGCCUUCGGGUUGUAAACCGCUUUCGCCUGUGACGAAGCGUGAGUGACGGUAAUGGGUAAAGAAGCACCGGCUAACUACGU
rnacentral:rRNA from 1 species